GCCCUAGUUAGCUUGGUUGGUAGCGCGUCUACCUUGUAAGCGCUAGGCUGCGGGUUCGAUUCCCGCCCGGGGCG
rfam:Asian citrus Psyllid, Diaphorina citri - Florida Strain, whole genome shotgun sequence.